AUGUCCGAGGGCCUCUAUGGACUUGCUGGUGCUCCUCCACUUAUUGCCGCUGUCAACAAUCAGCUUUAUGCAGCUGAUUAUAGUGACAAGGAUGUGAAGAGAUAUGACAAGCUGAAUAAUAGGUGGAUCACUCUUGAAAAAUUGCCUGAACAAUGCGUGUCAAACGAUUCUUGGGGCAUUGCUUUCAGAGCCUGUGGUGACCGGCUGAUUGUCAUUGGAGGUCCUAGGACUUAUACUGGUGGCAUGAUUGAGUUCAUUCCUAGAUCCCGGAUCAGCAACCGCCUGUGUGGAAUUUGGUUGCUAAACGGUCAUCCAAGAGCUUCGUUUAUAACUUGGCCGUGA
rnacentral:rRNA from 1 species